rnacentral:lncRNA from 1 species
UACAAAGCAUGGUCUAGAAGAAUCCAAAAAGAAAAAUAACAUAAAAAUCUUUAAAGAAUUCAAGCUAAACUAAACUGGAUUAAACAAAGACCUUUUACAAAGCAAUAUAACUUUAAAGUAAUACAACUCAGUUAAUUAGGUUAUUAUGUCAGUCAUUAGGCCCUGCAUCGGCCACCACCAGGUCAUCCAACCGUCUAAUCGUUAGUACGGUCAUCUUAUGACAUUACGUUGCUAGGUCGUCAGUCUGGUCAUCUUGUGACAUUAUGUUGCCACAUCAUCAUAUCGUCUAGUCAUCAAUCUAGUCAUCUAGUGACAUUAGAUUGGCCACCAGCCGGUUGUUAGGACAUCAGGCCGAUCACCAGGUCACCAGGUCUGCUGGUCGUUCACACUAGGUCGCUAGGCCGGCUAGUUGUACACCAAGUCAACAGGUUGGCUAGUCGUUCACCAGGUCGAUAGGUUUCCUGGUCAUCCGUCAAGUCGCCCGGUCACAGGUCGCCUGGUCAUCCAUCAGGUCAUGUGGUUGUCCGUCAAGUCACCAGGUCAUCUCAUCUAGUCAUCUAGUCAUAUAUGCUAAGUCAUCCCGUUUAGUCGCCUGUCCGUUAGGCUGCCAAGUCAUUUCGUCUGAUCAUCCUCCAAGUCGCCAGGUCGUAUCCUUCUACACAUUCUUAUUCAAUUAUUGUAA